GACGAGGUGGUGGAGCGGUCUAACACGCUGGCUUUAGGACUACCUGAAAACGCCAGUCCUUUGGGGCGCGGGUUCGAAUCCCGUCCUCGUCA